ensembl:processed_transcript predicted gene 20544
GUUACCGCCACCCUCUCCCAGGUCUAGAGAGGGGUACCCACGGCGGAGGGAGGUGGGAGGCCGAGACGGCCCCGGGGGUCGGCGGAGACCCAGCGGGAGCAGGGGGAAAUCGGAAGAGCUGGGGGCAUGGAGCGGGCGAGUUUGGAGCGGAAUGAGCCGGGAGCCCUACGUUGUGGAAGGAAGACAACAGUAUAGGGACCAUCAGCAUGACCGGACAGAGAGGGGCACGUAAGCAGUAAUUACUGGAUGGCAUAGUAAUUCUACUAAAAAUUAAAAUGCCACUUAUUAGAAUGGUGUGUGAACACUCUAAAGCAACCCGGGAAGAAGACAGCAGUCAAGAAGACCAAGGAAGGAAAUGGAGGAGGGAUGACCCCACCAUUACAGGCAGGGAAGGACUGACCAAAGAGACAGAAAUGUAGUCUAGGAAAUGUGUCAUCUUAGAAAGGAACGGGAAGGGGCUGGAGAGGUGGCUCAGAAGUAAAGAGCAGUGGAUGCUCUUUCAGGGGACCUGAGUUGGCCUCCUAAUGUCUUCAGGUACCUCCUAACUGCAUGUAACUCCAGCUCACUCCAGCUCCGGGAGAUUCUGGAUUCUUCUGGUCUCCGCGGCACUGCGUUCACGCACACACACACACACACACACACACACACACACACAGAUUAAUCUUAGAAAAGCAUAGGAAGCCUGGUUUUUUG